rnacentral:lncRNA from 1 species
AAGAAAUAUUAGCAUGUUUAGACCACCUAGACAUGAAUCUCGAAAAUUACAUGAAAAUAAUUUUCAGAAAAAUAGGAUGAAUAAAUUUAGAUCCUCUAAUUACUAUCAUCCUAGGAAAAUGCCUAAUCCAAACGUGAUUUGUCACUAUUGCAAUCAGAUUGGUCAUAUUGCUCCCGUUUGCUUUACAAGACAUAGGCAUAAUAGCCAAUCACAACAUU